rnacentral:lncRNA from 1 species
GUGUGGAGCAGUUUCCUUGUCUGCAGCAGCACUCUUUGAAAGGGAAAAUUCUCUGGUGAAUUCAUUAUUACACAGAAGUCCCACCCCCAUGAAGCUGCUGUAGACACAUAACAGGAUUACUGUUCAAGAGUUUACUAGGAUGCAAGUAAAAUUGUUACAGUCAGCCAGCAGCAAGCAUCUUUGACUAAGAGUUAUUCUUCUGGCUCUGGACUAUUCUUCUUGGUUCUGGACUUUGAUCCAGCUGAGCAGGACUAGAGCUCUAGUAUUAGUGCACUUUGGCAUACAUCAUAAGAGGACCUGACUGCAGCCUACAGCCUCUACAGUCACUCUGAAACUUCCAAGGUUCCUCUCUCACCAUCCCAUUCGUCAUUUUUUCCAUGAAAGCCCUCACACCACUUUCAAUGGGGUAAAGAAAUAGUUUAAUUUUGGUGACUGUAAAUACACUGCUUGAGAUGGAUUUGACAGUUUACUACACUCUGGCAUCAGCUCUCUGAACUAAAGCCCUGCUAGGGAAUUUCACAUCAAUUUUGUCAGUAUUUUGGGAAUUAAUCUACCAUUGGAGAAGAUACUGAUGAUAUAGAUCAUUUGCUUUGGGAA